GAUGAAGAACGUAGUGAAAUGCGAUAAGUAAUGCGAAUUGCAGAAUCCGUGAGUCAUCGAAUCUUUGAACGCACAUUGCGCCCCUUGGUAUUCCGGGGGGCAUGCCUGUUCGAGCGUCAUUAUAACCCCUCAAGCUCAGCUUGGUGUUGGGGCCUGCCAACUGGCAGCCCUUAAAAUCAGUGGCGGCGCCAUCUGGCUCUAAGCGUAGUAAUUUCUCUCGCUAUAGGGUCCCGGUGGAUGCUUGCCAACAACCCCCAAUUUUCUAUGGUUGACCUCGGAUCAGGUAGGGAUACCCGCUGAACUUAAGCAUAUCAAUAAGCGGAGGA
rnacentral:misc_RNA from 1 species